rnacentral:rRNA from 1 species
CUUGCACGCUGGCGGCAUGCCUUACACAUGCAAGUCGAACGGUAACGGGCCUUCGGGUGCCGACGAGUGGCGAACGGGUGAGUAAUACAUCGGAACGUGCCCGAUCGUGGGGGAUAACGAGGCGAAAGCUUUGCUAAUACCGCAUACGAUCUACGGAUGAAAGCAGGGGACCGCAAGGCCUUGCGCGGACGGAGCGGCCGAUGGCAGAUUAGGUAGUUGGUGGGAUAAAAGCUUACCAAGCCGACGAUCUGUAGCUGGUCUGAGAGGAUGAUCAGCCACACUGGGACUGAGACACGGCCCAGACUCCUACGGGAGGCAGCAGUGGGGAAUUUUGGACAAUGGGCGCAAGCCUGAUCCAGCCAUGCCGCGUGCAGGAUGAAGGCCUUCGGGUUGUAAACUGCUUUUGUACGGAACGAAAAGCCUUCUUUUAAUACAGGAGGGUCAUGACGGUACCGGAAGAAUAAGCACCGGCUAACUACGUG